rnacentral:rRNA from 1 species
UGAGGAAUCUUCCACAAUGGGGGAAACCCUGAUGGAGCAACGCCGCGUGCAGGAUGAAGGCCCUCGGGUCGUAAACUGCUUUUAUGGGUGAAUAAUAUGAAUGUAACCCUUGAAUAAGCACCGGCUAACUACGUGCCAGCAGCCGCGGUCAUACGAAGGUUGCAAGCGUUGUUCGGAAUCACUGGGCUUAAAGAGCAUGUAGGCGGCUCAUCAAGUACUUUGUGAAAUCCCCCGGCUCAACCGGGGAAUUGCUUGGUAUACUGUUAGAGCUUGAGGCAAGUAGAGGCGCGUGGAACUCUUGGUGGAGCGGUGGAAUGCGUAGAUAUCAAGAGGAACGCCGGUGGCGAAAGCGGCGCGCUGGGCUUGUCCUGACGCUGAGAUGCGAAAGCCAGGGGAGCAAACG